GUGGGGAAUAUUGGACAAUGGGCGAAAGCCUGAUCCAGCCAUGCCGCGUGUGUGAAGAAGGUCUUCGGAUUGUAAAGCACUUUAAGUUGGGAGGAAGGGCAGUAAGUUAAUACCUUGCUGUUUUGACGUUACCGACAGAAUAAGCACCGGCUAACUUCGUGCCAGCAGCCGCGGUAAUACGAAGGGUGCAAGCGUUAAUCGGAAUUACUGGGCGUAAAGCGCGCGUAGGUGGUUCAGCAAGUUGGAGGUGAAAUCCCCGGGCUCAACCUGGGAAGUGCCUCCAAAACUACUGAGCUAGAGGACGGUAGAGGGUAGUGGAAUUUCCUGUGUAGCGGUGAAAUGCGUAGAUAUAGGAAGGAACACCAGUGGCGAAGGCGACUACCUGGACUGAUACUGACACUGAGGUGCGAAAGCGUGGGGAGCAAACAGGAUUAGAAACCCCGGUAGUCC
rnacentral:rRNA from 1 species